AUUGAACGCUGGCGGCAUGCUUUACACAUGCAAGUCGAACGGUAACAGGCCUUCGGGUGCUGACGAGUGGCGAACGGGUGAGUAAUGCAUCGGAACGUGCCCAGAGGUGGGGGAUAACGCAGCGAAAGCUGUGCUAAUACCGCAUGUGAUCUGAGGAUGAAAGCGGGGGACCAGGCAGCAAUGUUUGGCCUCGCGCCUUUGGAGCGGCCGAUGUCAGAUUAGGUAGUUGGUGGGGUAAAGGCCUACCAAGCCGACGAUCUGUAGCUGGUCUGAGAGGACGACCAGCCACACUGGGACUGAGACACGGCCCAGACUCCUACGGGAGGCAGCAGUGGGGAAUUUUGGACAAUGGGCGCAAGCUGAUCCAGCAAUGCCGCGUGCGGGAAGAAGGCCUUCGGGUUGUAAACCGCUUUUGUACGGAACGAAAAGGCUCUGGCUAAUACCUGGGGCUGAUGACGGUACCGUAAGAAUAAGCACCGGCUAACUACGUG
rnacentral:rRNA from 1 species